CCAGUCCGCAAGCAAACACUCUGCAAAAAAAAAAAAAAAGAAAAAAAAAAAAGAAAAAGAGAAAGAGGUCAAGUCUAUGGAGUUAUU
rnacentral:ribozyme from 1 species